CCUUUCCAUUUCCCACGUGGCUCUGCCCAUUUUCCUUCUGUCUUUUUCUCUCUCUUCCUUAGCGAGGUCCCAUCGAUGCAAAUCUCUCCGACCGCCCCUCCUGCCGCCUACCGCCUGCUGUUGCGCCUGUCCACUGGUACACUUUUCCCCAGCUUUGGUUCUCCUUCCAAUCUGCUCCCUCUGCACCGCGUGGUGCCCGGUCCCCACGGCCCCGCCACCCCUGCCGUCCUGGGAGCAGGCCCGGCGCCUGUGAGCAGGAGGUGGGCACCUGUGAGCGGCGGCGGCCGGGAGCCCCGUGUCCCGAGAGCGCCAGGUCAGCCCAGCCCUCGGUCCUUCACAGCCCGGGCCGGGCCACGUGGCGAGGCCGCUGCCUCCCGUGCUCCACGGGCCCCGUGCACGUUCUGUGUAACACACGUGUGCCAUAGAAGCAGACCAUCCUGGGCCUGCGGCCGGCAGACUCUCCCUCUGGAAGCCCCCCUGGAAACGGGACGUCUGACGUCCUCUCGUCACCUCUGUCCCAGCCUGCCAGCCGUAUACACUUCCUCCGACAUGCACCCUAAAUCAUAGCCCCAGUCACCCUCGCUUCGCUCCUGAGGGGAGGGUGCAGGAAUCAGUGCUGGAAAUCAGCAUUCCAGCUCCUCAGGCCGGCAUCCAACUUCCCUGCCCCCUCAGUGCAGACUGUCCCCGGGGGAGCAGCGGCUGUCCACUCCCUCCCCUCCACCCAGCAAGGCCACCUUAUCAGGCGAAAUCCCACGAGAGGCAAAAGGCAAACACGUGGACUCGACUUGGGUGAGCAACCCUCCGGUCGUCCUGGAGCCUGGGCACUCGGACCCUGGCAGGGGACACUCUGUUGGCUGGCCUGUGCCUGGAGCUGCCAGCCUUGGGGGGCUCCCAGGGAGAGCCGCGCCUGUGUCCAUCACGCAGGCUAAGGAUGCAGGAGAGCAGAAGGUCUGCUCUGAAGCCAGAACUCGCUCCGCGCCCGGCCUCGGGGCAGCGCUGGUCUCUGCUGGCCCCACUCCGAGGGAGUGACCGGAAACGAAACCCAGUUCUGGCCCUGAGGGGCCGGCACUGCUGCUGCAGGGUCCUCAAGGAACAAGCCCGCCAGGUGUCUCCGCCUCCUGCUGGUCCAUCCUGGGCAUCAGCCCAGACCCAGGGGCCAGUCCAGUCCUCAGACCGGCCGAGCUGACCCCUGCUGUGGGCACCUCCGACCUGCCGAGCUCCCCCCUGAAAUCCUGAGUCGUCACAGACCCCAAGGUGACGCCCGCGUCUGGGGGGAGCUGGCGAGGAUGCCGGGGCGGCGUGGGGAGGGGGGCUGGCGAGGAU